AAAUGAUUUGCCGAUGCUUUUUGCUUUACUUCUUAGUGUGAUAUCGCUCCAUCCCCAGCAUUCCUCAACAUCUUCCGAGUGCGAUCCGCACCGAUCUCCUCCAGCAGUGGUAACGUGGUACUGCACAGAUGGUCUGGGUACGGGGAUCAACCGUGGUUGCACUGAAAGGAAAAGGCCUGGAGAGAUGCCCGGCCGCCCGCUGGUCGUGUCUCUGCUGAGCACCCCGAGCCGUGAUGACCUCUUGAAUCAAAGCCAAAGCACAGCGGCUGGCCGACACACUUUUCCCCUUGAUUUCCCAUCGAUUCCUGCGGACACAUGCUCGUACCGUCCCUGCGGUUAAAUAGCACUGCUAGCGAAGUGGCUGUCAACAGGCAUACCUGGUGCAGGCUUUGCUGUCCUCGGUUGGAGAGAUGCCUAAAUGUAAACAUCGCAGGUGGUCCAUCCUCUGAGACGCUGGACUUCUGAAACAGUAACGCCAAAAAGGAAAUGCACUUAA